UACGGGGGGGGCAAGCGUUGUUCGGAAUUACUGGGCGUAAAGGGCUCGUAGGCGGCCAACUAAGUCGGUCGUGAAAUCCCUCGGCUUAACCGGGGAACUGCGUCUGAUACUGGAUGGCUUGAAUCCGGGAGAGGGAUGCGGAAUUCCAGGUGUAGCGGUGAAAUGCGUAGAUAUCUGGAGGAACACCGGUGGCGAAGGCGGCAUCCUGGACCGGCAUUGACGCUGAGGAGCGAAAGCCAGGGGAGCAAACGGG
rnacentral:rRNA from 1 species